AUGAACGCUGGCGGCGUGCCUAAUACAUGCAAGUCGAGCGAACGGACGAGAAGAUUGCUUCUCUGAUGUUAGCGGCGGACGGGAGAGUAACACGUGGAUAACCUACCUAUAAGACUGGGAUAACUUCGGGAAACCGUAGCUAAUACCGGAUAAUAUUUUGAACCGCAUGGUUCAAAAGUGAAAGACGGUCUUGCUGUCACUUAUAGAUGGAUCCGCGCUGCAUUAGCUAGUUGGUAAGGUAACGGCUUACCAAGGCAACGAUGCAUAGCCGACCUGAGAGGGUGAUCGGCCACACUGGAACUGAGACACGGUCCAGACUCCUACGGGAGGCAGCAGUAGGGAAUCUUCCGCAAUGGGCGAAAGCCUGACGGAGCAACGCCGCGUGAGUGAUGAAGGUCUUCGGAUCGUAAAACUCUGUUAUUAGGGAAGAACAUAUGUGUAAGUAACUGUGCACAUCUUGACGGUACCUAAUCAGAAAGCCCCGGCUAACUACGUG
rnacentral:rRNA from 1 species